AAACGUACUUGGUGCCGGGGCCUCGUUGAUCACUGAGGACGAGCCCCGAGGGUGACGCGCAGGCAUUGCACUGCGGUCGCGUUGACCCCUGUCACAUCUCCAAACUGUGGUGGAUAAUACAUGCAAAUUGC
rnacentral:snRNA from 1 species